GUAGGAACCAGAUCUAGGGUUUCAGGGUUAGAUCUUGAAACUUUUUCAAGAUCAUACAGCGGAAGACUAAAAUAAAUUAAAAUUUAUUUUCUAAAACCAGAGAAUCUCUAGAUCUAAGAUCCUAUUACAUGAUUAUUAUAUGGUAUUAAAUCAAAAAUUAAAAUAUAUAAAUAUAGCAUGAACUACAUGUUGAUCAUAUCAACAUAUUUCUAUACUACAUCUAAUGUAUGUAUUAAACAAUAGAUCAGAUCUAUUACCUUGCAAGUUAGACGCUCUAACCUCGCUGAUCCGGGCUUAAGGAUGAUGUUGCAAGCCGCACAUGCAUCCGGCCUCUAGGAGUCAUCCACACGAGCCCACGAAUCUCGAUCAGAAGUCCUGCUUCAGGAAAUCAGCACAGUAUGCUAGUACUGCACUGAUCCUUCUUUGAUGGUUGAUCAGGUGCCUCCUUCUUCUUGAUUUGGACUCUUCCAAAGAUGAAAAGUAGAAGGAGGAGUUUUAGAUCUGAGACGCUCUCAGAAAACUCAAGAUGGAGGGAGGAA
rnacentral:lncRNA from 1 species